GUACACUCCUGCGGGAGGCAGCAGUGGGGAAUUUUGGACAAUGGGCGAAAGCCUGAUCCAGCAAUGCCGCGUGAGUGAAGAAGGCCUUCGGGUUGUAAAGCUCUUUUGUCAGGGAAGAAACGGUGAAAGCUAAUAUCUUUUGCUAAUGACGGUACCUGAAGAAUAAGCACCGGCUAACUACGUGCCAGCAGCCGCGGGAAUACGUAGGGUGCAAGCGUUAAUCGGAAUUACUGGGCGUAAAGCGUGCGCAGGCGGUUUUGUAAGUCUGAUGUGAAAUCCCCGGGCUCAACCUGGGAAUUGCAUUGGAGACUGCAAGGCUAGAAUCUGGCAGAGGGGGGUAGAAUUCCACGUGUAGCAGUGAAAUGCGUAGAUAUGUGGAGGAACACCGAUGGCGAAGGCAGCCCCCUGGGUCAAGAUUGACGCUCAUGCACGAAAGCGUGGGGAGCAAACAGGAUUAGAAACCCCAGUAGUCCCAUG
rnacentral:rRNA from 1 species